rnacentral:rRNA from 1 species
UACGAGGGGGGCGAGCGUUGUUCGGAAUUAUUGGGCGUAAAGGGUGCGUAGGCGGUUUGGUAAGUCUUGUGUGAAAUCUUCGGGCUCAACUCGAAGUCUGCAUGAGAAACUGCCGGGCUUGAGUGUGGGAGAGGUGAGUGGAAUUCCCGGUGUAGCGGUGAAAUGCGUAGAUAUCAAGUGGAACACCAGUGGCGAAGGCGAAUCCCUGGAAAAUACCUGACACUGAGGCACGAAAGCUAGGGGAGCAAACAGG